UACGUAGGGUGCGAGCGUUGUCCGGAAUUACUGGGCGUAAAGAGCUCGUAGGUGGUUUGUCGCGUUUGUCCGUGAAAACUCACAACUCAAUUGUGGGCGUGCGGGCGAUACGGGCAGACUGGAGUACUGCAGGGGAGACUGGAAUUCCUGGUGUAGCGGUGAAAUGCGCAGAUAUCAGGAGGAACACCGGUGGCGAAGGCGGGUCUCUGGGCCGAUACUGACGCUGAGGAGCGAAAGCGUGGGGAGCGAACAGG
rnacentral:rRNA from 1 species